UUUGGCCGACUCUUCUGAAUAUGUGAAUAUCCUACUCGAAGGCCCCUUGUUUUCUUCGCUUCUUUCUUCUCGUGUCCCAAUAAAACCCACGCUGUCAGGAUACUCUACAACUGCCACCACUCUCUCUCCAUGAAUAAAUCCCCAUCUGCUGUUUUCUCUAACAAUUAACAAUGCUCGCGGGGUCUUCUCUGUUGUAGAAGAUGAGUUCCAGCCGUACAUGGCAACUCGAACAAUCUUUCCUUCAACCUCUCCCAGUGGAACCAUAGAGGAAGUUGAACUUUUGGGUUCAUCAUAAAGCAUAGCAUUUAUUAAUGAAUGCUUUAUGUCACAUUGUUUCUGCAGAUAAUACUAAUGCAGUCAAUAUCAUGUUGUUUAUUUCCUAUGGGGCUUCACUUGAGUCUUAAUAAUAUUUAAAGGAGGGAUGAGGAAAAACCGAAACACUGGAGAUGUCCCGGUGAGUGAAAAAUAUUUAGGCAAAAGCUUUUAAAGGAAAAGAAUUGAGGACAUUGAAUAGAUUGCACUAAGCAGAUACAUGAACAGAUUACUGGUUUCACAGGUUUCUGUACAUAUUGUCAUCUACAUUUCUUUAAAUCAAAUGCCAAGCCAUGGAUUAUUCUCUUUACUUAGCAAACAAGCAGUUCUCUAUUUACCUUCCAGAGCAAGAUUGAUGAAGUUAGGCCUAGCCUCAUUACUAAAUAUGCUGGUUGGUAUCAUCGUAUGUAACAUAUAUAUCUAUGAUUUGUUGUGGAUUC
rnacentral:sRNA from 1 species